rnacentral:lncRNA from 1 species
UAAUUGUUCCAAUAGUGCCAUCCGUCGUGUUGCUCUGAAAAGGUUAUAAUUGUUCCAAUAGUGCCAUCCGUCGUGUUGCUCUGAAAAGGUUAUAAUUGUUCCAAUAGUGCCAUCCGUCGUGUUGCUCUGAAAAGGUUAUAAGUGUUCCAAUAGUGCCACCCGUCGUGUUGCUCUGAAAAGGUUAUAAUUGUUCCAAUAGUGCCACCCGUCGUGUUGCUCUGUUAUAAUUGUCCAAAAGGUUAGUGCCAUCCGUCGUGUUGCUCUGAAAAGGUUAUAAUUGUUCAAUAGUGCCACCGUCGUGUUGCUCUGAAAGGUUAUAUUGUUCAAUAGUACAUCCGUCGUGUUGUUCUGAAAAGGUUAUAAUUGUUCCAAUAGUGCCAUCCGUCGUGUUGCUCUGAAAAGGUUAUAAUUGUUCCAAUAGUGCCAUCCGUCGUGUUGCUCUGAAAAGGUUAUAAGUGUUCCAAUAGUGCCAUCCGUCGUGUUGCUCUGAAAAGGUUAUAAUUGUUCUAAUAGUGCCACCCGUCGUGUUGCUCUGAAAAGGUUAUAAGUGUUCCAAUAGUGCCACCCGUCGUGUUGCUUAUGUAAGUAAUACAAUUAACGACAAGUCGCAGUUAUUCUAAUAUCAUCAACGUGAAAAAGAGGAGGGGAUUGUGGUUUCGACAAGGGGAACAAACCCAUGAUCCUUUAAAUUGUGGCAGAUUUUUCAUAACGGUCCACCAAAUCAUGAUUGCUCCUGUAAAAACUCAGAGAGAAUAGAUUAGUUGAAUUUAGUCAUUUGAAACACUUGAUGCGAUAUCUUUCUUUCAGGCAUAUCGUG